rnacentral:lncRNA from 1 species
CUGCCAGCGCCAGCUGGGGCGAACUUGAGGUGGCAAACGCUAGUAAACUUUUCUUUAGAAAGUUUAGGUAGCGUGGUUAGUGACAGAGGCUCAGAGGUAGCAAGUAAUGCCGAAGUACGCUUGAGUGGGAGAUUGAGAGAUUGCAGUGUCUCAAGUCCCGAAGCGUCUGAAGAUUCAAGGCUCGCAGGUCAGGUUUGCCUACGGCCCCAGAAGCUCUGGGGCAUCGGAGACCGUGGGGAGUCCUUAGGAGACUGGCUAGACAGGGCUAGGAGUUCCACGGUUUAAGUCGGUAUGGAAGGCACUACCAGGAGACGACUCAGAGCAGUAGCGGGAGAGGCUUGUCUGCCCAGGCGGUAUUAGAUCCAAACGCCGAGGGGCCCAGUCCCCCACAUUCCCCCGCCCAGUGAAGGUUGCGUGCUCCAGGGAGCUUUGGGCAGACGCGCGGGGUUUCGCGUCGCGCGCCGGUUCUCUGAAAACCACGUGCGUCCACGGCCCUAGGCGAAGCCGUUGGGGAAAGCGCCCCCGCAGGGAAGGGGGGCCACGCAGCCAAGACUUGUUUUUUGCAGUGCCCCAGCUUGCGCGCAUCCAUGCUCCGGGCAGAACAAAGUGGCCCAACCCAACUUCUCCACCCUGCGCCCUGGGAAGGAAACGUGGUGCGCCCGCUGGAGCGCGAGGCCGCAGCAGCCGGUUCCACACAAGGCCUGGCCUGGCAUUCUGCUGUUCUUCAUUGUGUACUAAGGGAAUGCAUAAUUUAAUUAUCUCCUCCAAGUGCAACGCACCCUUUUCCUCUUUUGCUUUGGAGCCUAGGAUAUUUCGAAGGGGAAGCUUCUAAAAA